UGAAAGCGGGGGACCGUAAGGCCUCGCGCUAUUGGAGCGGCCGAUGUCUGAUUAGCUAGUUGGCGGGGUAAAACCCACCAAGGCGACGAUCAGUAGCUGGUCUGAGAGGACGAUCAGCCACACUGGGACUGAGACACGGCCCAGACUCCUACGGGAGGCAGCAGUGGGGAAUUUUGGACAAUGGGGGCAACCCUGAUCCAGCAAUGCCGCGUGUGCGAAGAAGGCCUUCGGGUUGUAAAGCACUUUUGUCAGGGAAGAAAUCUUUCGGGCUAAUACCCCUGGAAGGAUGACGGUACCUGAAGAAUAAGCACCGGCUAACUACGUGCCAGCAGCCGCGGUAAUACGUAGGGUGCAAGCGUUAAUCGGAAUUACUGGGCGUAAAAGCGUGCGCAGGCGGUUUGCUAAGACAGUUGUGAAAUCCCCCGGGGCUUAACCUGGGAACUGCAAUUGUGACUGGCAGCUAGAGUACGGCAGAGGGGGGUGGAAUUCCUGGUGUAGCAGUGAAAUGCGUAGAG
rnacentral:rRNA from 1 species